rnacentral:rRNA from 1 species
UACGUAGGGUGCGAGCGUUGUCCGGAAUUAUUGGGCGUAAAGAGCUUGUAGGCGGUUUGUCGCGUCUGCUGUGAAAAUCCGGGGCUCAACCCCGGACUUGCAGUGGGUACGGGCAGACUAGAGUGUGGUAGGGGAGACUGGAAUUCCUGGUGUAGCGGUGAAAUGCGCAGAUAUCAGGAGGAACACCGAUGGCGAAGGCGGGUCUCUGGGCCGAUACUGACGUGAGGAGCGAAAGCGUGGGGAGCGAACAGG